UAUUUCACGCUCCUCGAACCCUUAACCUCUUCUCUUCUCUUUUCUUCUCUUCUUUUCUUUUCUCUUCUGUUUUCUCUUCUUCUUCUUCUUGCUUUCUUUUUCUUGUUUUUUUCUUUUCUUUUUAGUCGUUACUCCACGAAAAAGGAUUUCACAAAGGCAGUAUAAGUAACACAAUGGUGCACACUAACAUUUACCCCUCCUUCGUUUAUUAUAAUGCUAAUAAUAAUAAUUAAUAAUAAUAAUAAUAAUAAUAAUAAUAAUAAUAAUAAUAAUAAUAAUAAUAAUAAUGGUGAUAGUAGUAAUAAUAAUAAUAAUACUAAUAAUAUAACACUCUGAAGAUGAGGAUUCUUACAGAAGUCACAGACACGCCUUUACACUUUUUUUUUCUCAUAAAAUAUCUUCCUUCAAGACGUCGUUUUCCAUUGUAUUCCAAUCAUAUUAAAUCGAAUGACCCCAUUAUGAUCGUGCGAUCAAUUUCUCUUUGAGAUUCGCUAUUUCGAUCGUAAGGAAAAAUCGUUGAAUCUUCUUCGAUAAAAUAUCAUCUCGCGUUCAUGCACCACGUGGAUCGUCCACAACGAUGACGACGAGGACGAAAACAACGACAACGACAACAAUGACGACAAUGACGACGACAAUGACGACAAUGACGACGACAACGCGUGCAUACACCGAUCGUCGAUUCUUUCGCACGUCUUCGUAUCAACUGCGUGCCUUUCGCGCGUUAGCUCGCUCUUUCUCUCUCUCUCCCUCCUUUUUGGAAUGUACGUAUGCGUGUGUAAUACACGAGAAGGAUAGAAAGAUUGAGUGGGAGAGUUAAGGACUAGACGGAAGCGAUAGAGUUGUAAAGAGAGAAGAAGCCGAUGAAAGGAGGCACGUAUGUAUAUAUAUAUAUAUAUAUCGAAAAAAAAAAAAAUAGUCUCCUUCGCACUGCUCGAUAAAUCCUAAGAGAACCUCUUUCACGAUCGCAAAACCGAUUAUCGGAACCCACUACGUCUCCGUGUGUCUCGUGUGUCUUCUGCGUUCGCUCGAACCAACAACGACGACGACAACGGCGGCGGCGGCGGCGGCGGCGGCGGCGGCGGCGGCGGCGGCGGCGGUAGACCGCGCGCGCUUCGCGAAAGCCGGAACAGGGAGAAAAGAAGGGGGUGGGGGAAAUAGAUAGACGAAAGAGAGAGGAGAGGAGAAAGAGAAAAAGACAGACAGACAGACAGAGAGAGAGAGAGAUGGAAGGUAACGAAAGAGAAGUAUAAAUAAGAAGGCCGGUUCUCCGCGCGAGCCGUUAAGUCCAGCGUGAUCCGGGCUUAAGCCGCGCUCGCAACGGUUGCCGCAUAGAAAGGCAGUUGAGAACUGACUGCUGCCUCCUCUCCAGUCUCCUCGCUCCCAUGGCCCGAGCGCUUUGAGUGACGCGACUCGACGCGACGCGACGCGAAGCGAGGCGAGGCAAGACGAAGCGAGGCGAGACGAGGUGAGGUGAGGUGAGGAGCGAUGGCUAGGUAUAAAAAUACUUGGCUGGGACAGGCAGGCAGGCAGGCAGGCAGGCAAGCAAGCAGGCAAGCGCCUACCUCCGGACGCAAGAGUAACACCUAUGACGUUGGCACGAUAAAAGCACGAGUCGGGAAAAGCCCGUUAAGACUCGUACGGCGCAAGCUCCAAAGCUACUUUAGAAAAUUUUAGCUUUCGAACGGAGAGAGAGAGAAGGGAGGGGGGGGGAGAAAGAGAGAGAAUGAUAAACGCCGGAAAUCGAAAAUACCUAUUAAAAAUGAACGCGAAGAAACGUUCGGAUCCUAGAAAGAAAAUCAACAAUCGUGUUUUACAUUUACUUGUAAAAAAAAAAAAAAAUGUAAAUGUGUAUAAGUAAUUCGCAGAGUAAAUUCAUUUUCAAACAUAAUAUUCCGAAGUAAAAUGGGUUUGGCCGAUCGUUA